CACAAUUCGUCGUUCUGCAGCGGUGAGCUUGCAAAGUGGCUCCAAAUCCGGUUGAGUUUUCGCACAUGGAUCGCCAGCAGCGUUCACGGGCCCUCGCAGGCUCUCCGGGGGCCCGACGCGCGGAUUUGUGUCAGUAAGUGAUGUGUCCCACUCCUGCCGUGCACGCGUAAAAUGGAAUACGCUGUCUCGUAGCCCCUUUGGACGCAAAUGAUGGGGCCGUUUUACGCACUGGAUCUAUUAUUAUUAUUACCGCUGCGAGGCAUUCUGGAUGCUUGAAAUCAAAAAGACUGCGACGAAUAUAGUGAGAAAGAAACACUCUUGUGCUUGUUAAUUGUGAAAAGAAUUUGAGUAUGGAGCACACGGGCAUCGAGGAGGUGAACCAAACUCACCAGCAGCAGCAGCAGGCGCCGCCGCCGCACGAGCCUAUCAGUUUCGGCAUCGACCAGAUCCUCAACAGCUCGGACAUGUUGCCCAACCGGACCGGAGAGCCGGAGUACGCCGCGCUGGCCGCCGCCUCCAACGCCGUCUACGGCAACGGGUACGGCGGAGUCUACAACCCGGCCUGCUCCAUGGGCCUGGGGGGUUCCUACAACGUUAACAUGAACAUGAAUGUCAGCAUGAACAUGAACGUCAACGUCAACUCGGCGGCGGCGGGAGGGGGAGCGCCCGCGGGGGCCGGUGGGGUGAUCCGGGUCCCCGCGCACAGGCCCAUGCCGCCGCCUCCACCGCCGCCGCCCAACUCGGCGGCGGGCGGUGCUCAUCAGCCGCCGCCCGGUCUUGGCCCGGUGCCGGGCAUGGGGCAUGUGGGCAAUGGCAACUUUACCUUCCCUUGGAUGGAGAGCAGCAGGAGGUUUGCCAAGGACAGACUGACAGGGGAGCAGGCAGAGGAGAGCCGAACACGAGAGGCCGCAGGGGCCCCGGGGGCCGGGCCCCUCUGCGCUCUCCCCAAGGGGGACAUCGGAAGGGUCCCCGUCUGGAGCACGGUGGAGACCUUAGCUAAAUGCUAUUACCCCGAGCUCGCACACCUGCGAGACGGUAAUGGCCUCCUCGCAGACUAUUCCUUCCCAAAGGGGGCUUGCCCAGCCGCCCUGUCGCCUUUCUCCGUGACCCGCCGCAUCGGGCACCCGUACCAGAACCGAACGCCACCCAAGAGGAAAAAGCCCCGCACGUCUUUCAGUCGGGUGCAGAUCUGCGAGCUGGAAAAGCGCUUCCACCGGCAAAAGUACUUGGCGUCGGCCGAGCGGGCCACCCUGGCCAAGGCCCUCAAGAUGACGGACGCCCAAGUCAAGACGUGGUUUCAGAACAGGAGGACAAAAUGGCGGAGACAAACAGCAGAGGAGCGAGAAGCCGAGAGGCAGCAGGCCAAUCGUCUCAUGCUUCAGCUACAGCAGGAAGCCUUCCAGAAGACCUUGAGCCAACCCCUGCAGCCCGACCCACUCUGCCUGCACAACUCCUCUUUGUACGCCCUGCAGAACCUCCAGCCCUGGGCGGAUGACAAUAAGGAUUCUGGUGGGUAGAAGCCAAUGACUCCUUCUGAAUGGACAAAAUAUGGACAAAGUAAACUACUCAAAAAAGUUGGAGAUACAGAGUUUUCAGGUGAAGGCGCGUAUCCCUACUUUUUCUGACGGUCUAAAAAGGCAGGAGGGAGUUCCUAACUAAUGGACACCUGUGUACAUGUCCACCUAUCAAGACUGUUCCCUUCUAUCUUCCUUUUUACCGCUGGAACCUUCAAGAGGAUGCAGAGACUUUUCUGCCCGUGUCUGCAAAAAUGAAAACAUAAAAAAAACACCUGGAUUCUCCAUUGACUUUGUACAAUGUAGUAAUAAAAAAAAAUGCAUGUUUAAAGUCUUUUCUGUAUGCGCUGGCUGGGAGUUCUGCUGCUUAGCCACGCUCUUCAUGGAUACGGACUUCCUCGCGAUGGUCCGUUGAAAAGGGUGUUUUAUAUUAAAUGAU